CCUACGGGGGGCAGCAGUGGGGAAUAUUGCACAAUGGGGGAAACCCUGAUGCAGCGACGCCGCGUGAGCGAUGAAGUAUUUCGGUAUGUAAAGCUCUGUCAGCAGGGAAGAAAAUGACGGUACCUGACUAAGAAGCCCCGGCUAACUACGUGCCAUCAGCCGCGGUAAUACGUAGGGGGCAAGCGUUAUCCGGAUUUACUGGGGGUAAAGGGAGCGUAGACGGUCCUGCAACCCAGGGGUGAAAGCCCGGGGCCCAACCCCGGGACUGCAGUUGGAACUGUAAGGCUAGAGUGUGGGAGAGGCAGGCGGAAUUCCUGGUGUAGCGGUGAAAUGCGUAGAUAGUAGGAGGAACACCAGUGGCGAAGGCGGCCUGCUGGACGAUGACUGACGUUGAGGCUCGAAAGCGUGGGGAGCAAACAGGAUUAGAUACCCGUGUAGUC
rnacentral:rRNA from 1 species